UGGGGAAUAUUGCACAAUGGGCGCAAGCCUGAUGCAGCCAUGCCGCGUGUAUGAAGAAGGCCUUCGGGUUGUAAAGUACUUUCAGCGGGGAGGAAGGCGAUAAGGUUAAUAACCUUGUCGAUUGACGUUACCCGCAGAAGAAGCACCGGCUAACUCCGUGCCAGCAGCCGCGGUAAUACGGAGGGUGCAAGCGUUAAUCGGAAUUACUGGGCGUAAAGCGCACGCAGGCGGUCUGUCAAGUCGGAUGUGAAAUCCCCGGGCUCAACCUGGGAACUGCAUUCGAAGCUGGCAGGCUAGAGUCUUGUAGAGGGGGGUAGAAUUCCAGGUGUAGCGGUGAAAUGCGUAGAGAUCUGGAGGAAUACCGGUGGCGAAGGCGGCCCCCUGGACAAAGACUGACGCUCAGGUGCGAAAGCGUGGGGAGCAAACA
rnacentral:rRNA from 1 species